CGGUAGCACAACAGACUCUGACUCUGUUUGUCUUGGUUCGAAUCCAGGUUCCCCAGCCA
rnacentral:tRNA from 1 species